rnacentral:rRNA from 1 species
AUUGAACGCUGGCGGCAGGCCUAACACAUGCAAGUCGAACGGUAACAGGAAGCAGCUUGCUGCUUCGCUGACGAGUGGCGGACGGGUGAGUAAUGUCUGGGAAGCUGCCUGAUGGAGGGGGAUAACUACUGGAAACGGUAGCUAAUACCGCAUAAUGUCGCAAGACCAAAGAGGGGGACCUUCGGGCCUCUUGCCCUCGUAUGUGCCCAGAUGGGAUUAGCUUGUUGGUGGGGUAACGGCUCACCAAGGCGACGAUCCCUAGCUGGUCUGAGAGGAUGACCAGACACACUGGAACUGAGACACGGUCCAGACUCCUACGGGAGGCAGCAGUGGGGAAUAUUGCACAAUGGGCGCAAGCCUGAUGCAGCCAUGCCGCGUGUAUGAAGAAGGCCUUCGGGUUGUAAAGUACUUUCAGCGGGGAGGAAGGGAGUAAAGUUAAUACCUUUGCUCAUUGACGUUACCCGCAGAAGAAGCACCGGCUAACUCCGUG